GCACAGGUAAUGGCCUGUUCUGAGUCAGUUAUCCAUCUUAUCUGACUCAGGUUACCGUAAGAAUUAAUCGUGCCUGGGAUACUUAGCAACUUCUCUGUCGAUUCGGUCAAACGUUCUGUUUCUUUUAUCAAAGUGUUUCUUGUCAUUAGCGUCAGUGGCUCGGAAAGUGGUCUGGGUCUGGAAAAUGGGUCAUCCCGGAUUUCGCCGCUUCGUUUACGUUUCACCUUCACCCCAACUUAUGUGGCAUAUUUACUUGUGUGUUAUGAGCCAAAAACUAUUCUUAAUGGCUAUGGAACAAACGAAUUUAUCUAUCAUGGAACAAAAUCAACAUGUCGGACCCAGAGAGCUGAAGAAGGUAAAAUAAUACACCGAAAGCUUGGCAUACCUUCGAUACAUAACAUUGGAUUGUGAAUACUAACUCGUCGUUCAUCUUUACACCACCAUUAACUCAAGAUCGUCGACAUUUUAAACAACAUUUCAACGUAACAUUUCAAAUAAGAAAAAAAACUAGAGGCGAAAAAAUAAAGAGAUAUCAUUUAUCCUCGUUUGCAAGUUUGGCUGAUGGAAAUAAACA